rnacentral:lncRNA from 1 species
GAAUCCACAAAGGAAAGUGGAGGACCUGGAGGUGCUUUUACCAUGCUUGGUCCUGGAGGGGCCAGGGAAUCCAGGGGUCACUGGGACCCAGACACGGGGCUGGUGAGAAGGGAACUGUGGCUUCCACAGUAUAAGAGACGCACAGGGAGGGAACACACAGUUCCCUGUGGUGGUUGUGCAGAAAACCCCGUCUCACGCUUCUCCUGGCCCGAAUCUGCUGCUGUCUCCCACUGGCCAAACUCAACAGGAAGCCAAGGUCAAGCUUCCUCCAGAGCAACACUGCAGAGGCUUUGCCAAAGCACUCACAUGAAGGACAUCAGGAAUGGACAGGGAUGGGUUUGA